rnacentral:misc_RNA from 1 species
GAUGAGGAACGCAGCGAAAUGCGAUACGUAGUGUGAAUUGCAGAAUUCAGUGAAUCAUCGAAUCUUUGAACGCACAUUGCACCUCUCGGUAUUCCGGGAGGUAUGCCUGUUCGAGCGUCAUUUGUACCCUCAAGCUCUGCUUGGUGUUGGGUGUUUGUUCCGCCUCUGUGUGUGAACUCGCCUCAAAACAAUUGGCAGCCGGCGUACUUGUUUCGGAGCGCAGCACAUUUUGCGAUCCAGAUCAACGUACAGCGGCAUCCAAGAAGCCUUAUUUAACGCUCUUGACCUCGGAUCAGGUAGGGAUACCCGCUGAACUUAAGCAUAUCAAUAAGCGGAGGA